UAUUUAGAUGAUGUAACUCUGUGCCACUGGCUGCCAACCAGACAUGUAUCCGGCAAUGUUCAACAUUAUAUAAUGAUAUUGUCAGCCCGUCUGUGAGUAUUUCGGUUGGAAACAUCAACACAAUAGAAAUGGAUAUCAAGAAAGUGGUUGGUAACGUGGUUUUAAUCGUGCUCCUCAUAAAUGCUGUGGCUGGUUUACCCAAUAUAAGUAAAUGUUAUGGUUCAGAUCCUGGGGUACUGAACUGCCGACGGGCCGACCAUCUGUGGCACUUCGACGGCAACAACUGUGUUAAGAGGCCAAUCCAAUGCUACGACGUUAGCCCACAUGAUAACGCAUUCUAUACCAUAGCGGCAUGUCAGAAUCUGUGUGAACGGUAUGCCUAGUAAAUGGUUGUCUGGGAAGACAAAACAGCAUAAGAAGUUUCUAAUACUAUAUGUAUAAAGAACAGAUAUGACCUUGUGAAAUAAAUCUAAUGAUAGAUAUUAAUUCAUUAAAAGUGUCUAACAUCU